rnacentral:rRNA from 1 species
UACGUAGGGGGCUAGCGUUGUCCGGAUUUAUUGGGCGUAAAGGGCUCGUAGGCGGUUUGUCGCGUCGGGAGUGAAAACCCAGGGCUUAACCCUGGGCUGGCUUCCGAUACGGGCAGACUAGAGGUAUGCAGGGGAGAACGGAAUUCCUGGUGUAGCGGUGAAAUGCGCAGAUAUCAGGAGGAACACCGGUGGCGAAGGCGGGUCUCUGGGCCGAUACUGACGCUGAGGAGCGAAAGCGUGGGGAGCGAACAGG